rnacentral:rRNA from 1 species
UACGGAGGAUCCAAGCGUUAUCCGGAAUCAUUGGGUUUAAAGGGUCCGUAGGCGGUUUAAUAAGUCAGUGGUGAAAGCCCAUCGCUUAACGAUGGAACGGCCAUUGAUACUGUUAGACUUGAAUUAUUAGGAAGUAACUAGAAUAUGUAGUGUAGCGGUGAAAUGCUUAGAUAUUACAUGGAAUACCAAUUGCGAAGGCAGGUUACUACUAAUAUAUUGACGCUGAUGGACGAAAGCGUGGGGAGCGAACAGGAUUAGAUACCCUGGUAGUCCACGCCGUAAACGAUGGAUACUAGCUGUUGGGCGCAAGCUCAGUGGCUAAGCGAAAGUGAUAAGUAUCCCACCUGGGGAGUACGUUCGCAAGAAUGAA